AAUCUCAACAACUAGCCUUGUGCUUUGGUUCAAUCCCCCUGUAUGAUUGCUACUGUACUCUUCCAAUUUCAGUGUCACCACAGAUAUCGAUCAUGGCUUAAUUAUACCAAAGGAUGACAUGAAGUUGUCACACGGGAUGCUGACUGCUUGAUGACUAAUGCAUGCUUUACCAUUGCAUUAACUGAGGACCACAUAAAAUUGCUUCACUAAUUCAGAGCAGGACUAGCAGAGCUCCUGAGAAAUUGGUGUUUAGGUGCAGCUGGACAAAAGCUCUUUCCUCAAGAACUGAACCAAGCCCCAAACAAAACUUCUCAGCUAAUGAACACCAAAAGAGGUACCUUCAAUUAACAGAAUCCCUUCCAUCGUGGAGACCCCCUUUUUGUAGGAGCCUCCAGGGCACAUUCUCAGUUUCAUAGCUUCAACAGAGCCAUGCUGCUUUGGGGCAGGAAGAUUCUGGUGUCUGCUGGGAUGCUACAUAGAUGAUUCUGGCCUUUUGCUCACCCCAGAAACACUGCAGGGUUUGAGGGUUGGUUCCAUGACCCAUUGUGUGUGGGGGCGGGGGAGGGAGAGUCACAAACCCUUGACAGAGCAGUGUGGGUGAUUCUCACAGAGGAUUUUCCUCACUUUAG
rnacentral:lncRNA from 1 species